UGUGCCUCACCUUUCUGUGCUGGCUUCAUUAUCAGGGCCUGCCCCUGCGGGCAAGUGCUCGUGGCAUCUUGAGAAGAGAAAGGGGUGUCAGACGAAGAAACGAAUGGCGUGUGAAGUUUUGUAGGAAGAAAGGGAAGAGCGAAGUUCGCGGAUCUGGCCACCAUUGCUCACGACUCCUGUGACGUCCAGUGGCAGAGGCCAAAGGGAUUUCUGGGGCAGCCUUGAGGGAAAGAAUCCGGCGCGCGCGCGCGGGGUCUAUAGACGUUACUCUAAAUAUAGCACUUGUGGCGUUUGAAAUUAUCUUACUUUCUUUUCUUAACGAUUAUUUUAAUAUUUUGUCUCUUGAUCGCCCUUUCAUAUAACGUAAGCCCAGUAAGGCCAGAGACUUUAAUUCCUGGUAACCCCUGCGCCCUGAAAUAACUCUGAAUUAACCUGCUCACAAGUGAGGAAUAAUAACCAGCUGUGAAACGCCAGCAAUAACAGCCAGACGUUUAUUAGAAUUUUACUGUGCCAGGUACUACAUUUUACUUGGAUUAUCUCAUUUUUCAGAAUAGCUUUAAAGCAUACAUUACUACAAUGCCUGUUUUUCAGGUGCUUGCUGUGCUUUCUCCCUGUGAUUUUCUGAACCAAUAACCUGAAGCCUCAAGCUCUUCAUAUGCAAAAAUGUUUUGUAUCAGGUGCAUCUGAUGCAUUUAUCUCAGGAUAGAAGGAGUGUCCCCUGAGAUAACAACAACAAAAAUCGAGAUAAAGAGAGGAGGAACUAGAAUGAGAUUCAUAUGCUGUCCCUGCCUACUCCUUCCAGGGCAGAAUGUGGAAUGGAGCCUUGGAGAAUUUGCAGUCUGUUCUCAUUUUAGUCAGAGUUUCUGACUUAGGAGGUUGAUGGGGCGGCCCUUAAAUUUGCAUUUCUAACAAAUUCUGGGGUGAUGUUUCAAAUAGGUCCAAGCAGAGAGGCUACUUCAUAGAGAUUUCUGCCACUGCAUACAAAGGAAGCCAUAGACAUCCCCAACCCUCAAACUCCAAACCAAAACACUGAAAACUGACCAGAGUGGACAAAGAGUAUUUCAGAAUUUCUGUGGGAAUCAGUGACUCAAAGACCUGACAUCCCAGCCCUCAUCUUGGCAUCUUGGAAAUCAUCCCAGUCUGGAUUUAGUUCUGGGGGAAGGGAGAAAGGUUCCCGUUGAUAAGAUUAUUGUCACUGCAGCUAAAUGGAGGCAUUAAGUAGAAAUGAGUCUCAGUUACACAAAAAAAAAUUCUAUUUGUCACAUAUUUUAGUUUGUAAACUGAAACUCAUUCCUACUACAGUAUUAUCUGUGAGCAUUACAUAGUAACCAUAAGGUACUCAUCAUUUUAAGCUAAGUAUUAUGAAGAGUCUCACUUUACUCAAAGAUUGUGAGAUUUUAUUCAUUAACAUUUUUAUUUAGUGGCUAUAGUUGUCAAGGACAAAGCUGGGGGAACUAGCAAACAUUGCCUUGCCUGGCAUUAUAACCUCACUAGGUGGUAAGUUCCUCUAGGGCAGGGUCAAUACAUUUCCUUUGACUCUCUCACCUAGUCACUAGCAUACACGGUGCUUGUGCUUAGUAGGUGCUCAGUAAAUGUUUGUGGAAUGAAUAUAUUAUGAAUAAAAUAUAUGCUGAGGAUUUGGGGUGCUAAUUCUUGUGUAAUAUUUAAAAUAUGUCACAUAUAUUAUAUCAAUUGUUAGAAAUAUACCUGAGUAUAAAUAUACUUAAGGAGCCUCAAAAUGAAGAUAACUGUUUAACACUUUGCAUUUUAGACCUGUAUUUUUAGCUAUUUAGAAGAUAAUUGCUUUUUUUAAAUUGUUAUUUCCUAUUCUUUUUAUAAUCAGAUAAUAGUGAAGAUGCAUUUAAACUGCUAGCUUUCACGUAAACCCAUUGACUUGGUUAUUUCAGGCUGAUGUAACAAAAUGCCAUAGACUCGGUUGCUUAUCAACAACAGAAGCUUAUUUUUCAUGGGCCUAGAUGCUGGGAAGUCCAAGAUCAAGGUAUCGGUAGAUUCAGUGACUCGUGAGGGCUCAUUUGUAAUAGGUGGUACAUUGUAGCUGGCUCUUCACAUGGUGCAAGGGGCAAACAGCCUCCCUUGGGCUUUUUUAUUAGGGCCCUAAUCCUAUUCCUGAGGGCUCCAUCCUCAUCCUCAUGACCUCAUCACCUACUAAAAGGCCCUCUUUCACAUAGCAUCACUCUGAGGAUUAAGUUUUAACAUAUGAAUUUUGCCAAGGACCCAAAUAUUCAAAUGAUAGCACUCAUAGGUCACUUCUUUCAUCUUUGGAGUCUCAGCCCCCAGCACAAUGCCUACCACAUAGGGCAAGAAUAUUGUGUGUGCUGAAUGAAUUCAAAUGAAUAAAAUUUUCCCAAUCCUCAGAUACUUCCUAAUUUAGCUCCACUGUCACCAAACCUUUGCAGCACAUUUAUCAUUAUUAUUAUUAGACAGAGUCUUACUUUCUUGCCCUCAGUAGAGUGCUGUGGUGUCAUAGCUCAUAGCAACCUCAAACUCUUGGGCUCAAACUAUCCUCUUGCCUCAGCCUCCCAAAUGGCUGGAACUAUAGGCACCCUCCACAAUGCCUGGCUAGUUUGUAUUAGAACCAGGGUCUGGCUGUUGCUGAGGCUGGUCUUGAACUCCUGAGCUCAA